UACGUAGGGUGCAAGCGUUGUCCGGAAUUAUUGGGCGUAAAGAGCUCGUAGGCGGUUUGUUGCGUCGGCUGUGAAAUCCCGAGGCUCAACCUGGGGUCUGCAGUCGAUAUGAGCAAACUAGAGUGUUGCAGGGGAGACUGGAAUUCCAGGUGUAGCGGUGAAAUGCGUAGAUAUCUGGAGGAACACCGGUGGCGAAGGCGGCAUCCUGGACCAACACUGACACUGAGGAGCGAAAGCCAGGGGAGCAAACGGG
rnacentral:rRNA from 1 species